UGAGAUCUGCUGCACAUGCCUGGAGACCAGCAGAGGAUAGGCAACAGCUCACCAAAGAGAGCCUGCAGGUGCUGAUAUUUGUGCAGUCCCUGUGCCACCAUAGCAGGACCAGGACACCUGUGUUUGUGCAGAAAAUGCUGUGGGUUCUUCCCUUACCAUUCAAAGUGGAUCGAAGUCAAUGCUUUUUUUCUGGGGAAAGAGGGUGACCAGGGCAUCCUCCCUGCAUCCACAUCUGCCAUGAUUCCCUGGCUUACUCUUCUUGCCAUGAACAGCUUCAUGCUCUCCCAGACGGGCUUGGGAGGAU